AAGGGUAGUGGGUUAUCAGAACUUAAUAAUAUUAGAGUUACUAAAGUUAGUAUUCAACCCCUCACUGCUAAAUUUGACUGGCUUUA
rnacentral:Y_RNA from 1 species